CAACUUGAGAGUUUGAUCCUGGCUCAGAACGAACGCUGGCGGCAGGCUUAACACAUGCAAGUUGAACGCGUGUAGCAAUACACGAGUAGCGCACGGGUGCGUAACGCGUGGGAACCUUCCUCGUAGUCCGGAAUAACUCAGGGAAACUUGAGCUAAUACCGGAUGCCUCCUCCGGGAGAAAGAUUUAUCGCUACGAGAUGGGCCCGCGUCAGAUUAGGUAGUUGGUAGGGUAACGGCCUACCAAGCCGACGAUCUGUAGCUGGUCUGAGAGGAUGAUCAGCCACACUGGGACUGAGACACGGCCCAGACUCCUACGGGAGGCAGCAGUGGGGAAUAUUGGACAAUGGGGGCAACCCUGAUCCAGCCAUGCCGCGUGAGUGAAGAAGGCCUUCGGGUUGUAAAGCUCUUUCGACGGGGACGAUGAUGACGGUACCCGUAUAAGAAGCCCCGGCUAACUUCGUGCCAGCAGCCGCGGUAAUACGAAGGGGGCUAGCGUUGUUCGGAAUUACUGGGCGUAAAGCGCGCGUAGGCGGUGAUCCAUGUCAGAGGUGAAAUCCCGGAGCUCAACUCCGGAACUGCCUUUGAAACGGGAUCGCUAGAGUCCGAGAGAGGAUGGCGGAAUUCCUAGUGUAGAGGUGAAAUUCGUAGAUAUUAGGAAGAACACCGGUGGCGAAGGCGGCCAUCUGGCUCGGUACUGACGCUCAGGCGCGAAAGCGUGGGGAUCAAACAGGAUUAGAUACCCUGGUAGUCCACGCUGUAAACGAUGAGUGCUAGUUGUUGGGGGGUUUACCUCUCAGUGACGAAGCUAACGCGAUAAGCACUCCGCCUGGGGAGUACGGCCGCAAG
rnacentral:rRNA from 1 species